rnacentral:rRNA from 1 species
UACCAGCUCUCCGAGUGGUAGGGAUGUUUAUUGGGCUUAAAGCGUCCGUAGCCGGCUCAGAAAGUCCUCCGUUAAAUCCAACGAUUCAAUCGUUGGACUGCGGGGGAUACUCUUGGGCUUGGGGACGGGAGAGGUCGACGGUAUUCUCGGAGUAGGGGUGAAAUCCUAUAAUUCCGGGAGGACCACCAGUGGCGAAGGCUGUCGACUAGAACGAGCUCGACGGUGAGGGACGAAAGCUGGGGGAGCGAACCGGAUUAGAUACCCCGGUA